GUCCAAGAUUGUAAAACCAUGGUGGGGAAGGGAGAUAGAAGAAAAAGAAUGCACAUUAGAAGUACAUUUUCUCAAGAUACAGUUGCAUGUGGACAAGGUCUAAAGAAUAGGUAAACAUGAAAGUAGUUGGUAUAGUUAUUUUCCUUUGUUUUCUCAGCUUCCUACACUGUUGUACUGAUAGAUAAUGAAGAGGUUUUGUUUAAUAUUUUGAGUUAAUAAGUAACCAACCUAUGUCAAGGUUGAGCAAAAAUUUUCAUGUGAAUUUAUGAGUUAUCAUGACUUUUUCCUUCAGAGCAUUGUCAAGAUUGCUGCAUUAACCCAGGUAAUUUUGGAUGCUUUUGGCUUUAAACAGGUACCACUCAAUGGCCUAGACCAGGAGGGCAAGCUCCUUCAUCUCCAAGCUAUGAAAAUUCACUCCACUCCCUGAAAAAUCGAGUUGAGCAGCAACUUCACGAGCAUUUGCAAGAUGCAAUGUCCUUCUUAAAGGAUGUCUGUGAGCAGUCUCGAAUGGAGGAUCGUUUGGACAGACUGGAUGAUGCUAUCCACGUGUUGCGGAACCAUGCUGUGGGACCUUCCACCAGUUUACCUGCUGGUCACAGUGAUAUUCACAGUUUAUUGGGACCAUCCCAUAAUGCACCAAUUGGAAGCCUCAGUUCAAACUAUGGAGGAUCAAGCCUUGUUACAAAUAAUCGAUCAGCUUCAAUGGUAAGAUAGCCAGCCCUCAUCUUUCUCAUAAUAGCCCCUAAAGACUGCUGCCCUAAAUGUUUCCAUGAAAUAUUUGGGGAAGAGUCUUUCUUUUUGAAAGGAAGAUAAAGAGAGGCUUUUGAGUUUCCUUUAUUGUCUGGGGCAGAGUUACUGGCUGAGUAUUGAUCCAUAAAAUCCUGCUAUGAGUAUGUAGAAGAAGAAACUUUGUACAGAUACCAUUUUAGCUUAAACCUGGAUUUUGUUUUUCCAAAUGUGUAAAGAUUGGCACAACAGUUUGUGCCUUGAAAAAGUAGGCAGGAAAUUUGAAUAACAGUGCAGUAAAACAAGACUGAAUUUCAAGGAUUCUAUUCUAGGAAAAUUACUAUUGUGCUUUAGAAUCCACCUUCAACCACAGAAAAAAAUGUGAAACUCGGGCCUGGGAUUUAGCUCAGUGGUUCCGCCGCCUGCCUCACAAGCACAAGGACCGGAGUUCAAUCUCUGAUACCAAAAACAAAAACAAAACAAAAAUGUGAAACUUCAGUUUGUACAAGUCCAAAUUUAAACUAUUUGCAAAUGAAAUUAAAUGGGGGGGUUAGUUUUUAACAACAGCUAUAAUUUAAGUAACAAAGUAAGGAAACAAUUUUAGAUUAUGCCUACAAGAGAAUAAAAUAAUUUAAUCGAUAUUUGAAAAAAACAUGGUAUUUCGUGGGGACAGGGUAGGGCUCUAUAACCCUUACACAUCAGAAAUUCUGUUUUGAAUGUCUUACAUUAUUUUCUAUCCAGAUUGUCUUUUAAAGGAGUGAAAUUCUUUUUGAACCUGAUAUUUAAUUAAUGCCAUAUGUUUGCGUGUUUAUGGUAUGGGUCUUAAGGUUCACUGCAUGCCAAGAAAUAGCCUUCUAUUAAACAAAUUUCUAGCUAUAGGCCAUGUGAUCAGGGCUAAAAGUCACC
rnacentral:lncRNA from 1 species